UACGUAGGGUGCAAGCGUUAAUCGGAAUUACUGGGCGUAAAGCGUGCGCAGGCGGUUAUGUAAGACAGAUGUGAAAUCCCCGGGCUCAACCUGGGAACUGCAUUGUGACUGCAUAGCUAGAGUACGGUAGAGGGGGAUGGAAUUCCGCGUGUAGCAGUGAAAUGCGUAGAUAUGCGGAGGAACACCGAUGGCGAAGGCAAUCCCCUGGACCUGUACUGACGCUCAUGCACGAAAGCGUGGGAGCAAACAGG
rnacentral:rRNA from 1 species